rnacentral:rRNA from 1 species
UCGCGAAAACUUCGCAAUAAGCGAAAGCUUGACGGGGCUAUCCCGAGUGCCAGCUAGGGGAAUAAGGAGAGGGCAAGUCUGGUGUCAGCCGCCGCGGUAAUACCAGCUCUCCGAGUUGUGGGGAUAUUUAUUGGGCCUAAAGCAUCCGUAGCCGGCUGAACAAGUCCCCUGUUAAACCCAGCGACUUAAUCGUUGGUCUGCGGGGGAUACUGUUCGGCUAGGGGGCGGGAGAGGCCGUCGGUAUUCCUGGGGUAGGGGUGAAAUCCUAUAAUCCCAGGAGGACCACCAGUGGCGAAGGCUGUCGGCUAGAACGCGCCCGACGGUGAGGGAUGAAAGCUGGGGGAGCGAACCGGAUUAGAUACCCGGGUAGUCCCAGCUGUAAACGAUGCAGGCUAGGUGUUAGGGCGGCUACGUGCCGCUCUAGUGCCGCAGGGAAGCUGUUAAGCCUGCCGCCUGGGGAGUACGGCCGCAAGGCUGAAACUUAAAGGAAUUGGCGGGGGAGCACACAAGGGGUGAAGCUUGCGGUUUAAUUGGAGUCAACGCCGGAAAUCUUACCGGGGGCGACAGAGGAUGAAAGCCAGAUUAAAGGUCUUGCCAGACGAGCUGAGAGGAAGUGCAUGGCC